rnacentral:rRNA from 1 species
GGUUGAUCCUGCCAGUAAUCAUAUGCUUGUCUUAAAGACUAAGCCAUGCAAGUCUAAGGAUAAACAAUUUUAUCGUAAACCUGCAAACGGCUCAUUAAAUCAGUUUCAAUCUACUCGGUUAUAUAAUCUUACUUGGAUAACUGUAGUAAUUCUAGAGCUAAUACAUGCAAAAAACCCAAACUCACGAAUGGGUGUAAAUAUUUGAAUACAAACCAAUACAGACUUGUCUGUUAAAAUUAUGAUUAAAAAUACAAUUACGAAUCGCGAUUUAAUUAUGUGAUGACACGAACGAA